CUAUUUUUUUCAAACAAACAAGCUAUAUUAGUCUUGCCGGUGGAUCACUCGGCUCGUAGGUCGAUGAGGAUCGCAUCCAAAUGCGAUAGUUAGUGUGAACUGCAGAUAUUCUGAGCACUAAAACGUCGAAUGCACAUUGCGCCUUGGGAC
rnacentral:rRNA from 1 species